AUACGUAUGUCGCAAGCGUUAUCCGGAUUUAUUGGGCGUAAAGCGCGUCUAGGCGGUUUAGUAAGUCUGAUGUGAAAAUGCGGGGCUCAACCCCGUAUUGCGUUGGAAACUGCUAAACUAGAGUACUGGAGAGGUAGGCGGGACUACAAGUGUAGAGGUGAAAUUCGUAGAUAUUUGUAGGAAUGCCGAUGGGGAAGCCAGCCUACUGGACAGAUACUGACGCUAAAGCGCGAAAGCGUGGGUAGCAAACAGGAUUAGAUACCCUGGUAGUCCACGCCGUAAACGAUGAUUACUAGGUGUUGGGGGUCGAACCUCAGCGCCCAAGCUAACGCGAUAAGUAAUCCGCCUGGGGAGUACGUACGCAAGUAUGAAACUCAAAUGAAUUGGCGGGG
rnacentral:rRNA from 1 species